rnacentral:lncRNA from 1 species
AACAGAUUUUUCCUAUAGUGUGUGAUAACAUUGUGUGAGGGAAUUCGACGUUUGCUGUACCACUGUUCACUCCAACACAAUUUAUGACAAUACCACUGCAUCAAUCUGUAUGAUUAUUUUUGCAGUGUUUUAAAAAAUGAUUUUACUUUGUUGUCGCGUAUUAUUUUUGAAACAUUCAAUGUUUUAAAAAGGCGAAUUUUCUGUAUAAAGUCAAUAAUUAUGUUGACUUUUGAAGCCCAAACUUUCUACAGCCUUAAAUACGCAAAUAAAAGAUCCAAAAACUAUACCAAUACAGAACGACAUGUUUAUGGAAUUAUAGCAAAUCUUUUGGUUUACAAAUUUUUAUUCGUUAUUGCAAAAUAAUGAACUUAAAAUAUCUGACAUUUUCUCCCUACCCAGUUUACCCCUAUUAUUUUUUAUGAUGUGGACUGGUCAUUGUUAUUAAUUCGUACGCAAUUUGAUUGGAUUAACUUGUAAUUAGUUUACCUUCAAACUUGUUUAUGCUUUUCAUACAUGACUAUUGAUAAUAAGAACGUGCAUGCAUGUGUACGGUAACUAUAAAAUGACCUUCAAACUGGACACUGGACGAGUCAAUAUUAUGUUUUAUCAAUGAAAGUUAAGGUAUGAAAGGUAAGAAUUGCCACUUCUUCUAUUUUCACAAAAUUUUCCGACUACACAGUUGAUAUAUUAUUUUUUAAAAGCCUAUUGUGGAGAUAAAAGAGAAAGUUUACAAAUAAGACGUUUUGUUCCAUUAAACAAGUCAUUUUCUUAAGAGAAAUGCCGAAAUACAUUUUACGCACAGCUACGGCAGGUAAAGUUAUUAUUUAUCAUAACAAAAAAAAAGCAUUAUUCAGUCUCAUUAGAAUAUGUUAAUUACAAUAACUCCCAAACUUAAGUAGUAGGUAUAUGAAGUCAAAAUAUGUCCGAUCUGCCUAUUUUUGGACAUCAAAAGUCAAUACGAUCGUUUUAAAGUCAAUUUCGUCUACCUCACAAAAUCUUGUUAGGCACUAUAGUGA